rnacentral:misc_RNA from 1 species
GGUCUCCUCCGUCAAUGGCGAAGCUGAAGACGGAUUCUCCUCUCUCGCGUCGCAUAGUUCUCUCCUUCUUGCGCUUCCUUGAUUCUGUGGAACCUGCUGCAGGAGUUGAUUAUGAAGGACUUGAGGUUGCUAAGCAAUGUCUAUCAGAGGCUUUUAAGAUUGAUCCUUCAUCUCAUGCCUCAAGUUCAGACUCAUUAGUGGACAUAUUCAGUUCAGGGGAAGCAGUUGACCAAAGCCAAAGAAGUGUAGAUCUUAGGCAUGAUGUAUCUUCAUCAGAUGCUCCUUGUACAUCUUCAAGGCAGAAGGCCGAAGAUAGGACAAAAGAAGCUCACAGUUUUGGUAUAUCCAAAGAUGAGCUCUUUGGGCAGUUUUUUGAUGCUCUUGAAAAAUCUCACUAUUUCAGAAGCUUGCCCGAUGGAAAUGACGAUCAGGCUCAGUUGGAUAAGGCAUCAAGGAUAUUCCAUACUGCUUUGGAGGAGAUGCAAAAAUCUGGAUGUACUAUUUUCAACCGAAACAACCUCGCUGAGAUCUUAAAAUCACAAGGUAAUAAAGCGAUGCAGUCAAAACUUUACCCUGAUGCUAUUGAGCUGUAUUCUUUUGCAAUUGCACUUUGUGAAGAUAAUGCAGUUUACUAUUGCAACAGGGCAGCUGCUUUAACCCAGAUCCAACAAUAUGAAGCAGCAGUUCAAGACUGCCAAAAAUCUAUUGCAAUCAACCCCAAUUAUAGCAAGGCUUAUAGUAGAUUGGGUUUUGUCUAUUAUGCUCAAGGGAAGUACCGUGAUGCCAUAGAUAAGGGAUUCACAAAAGCAUUGCAGUUGGAUCCUAAUAAUGAUUCCAUCAAGGAAAAUAUACGGGUAGCAGAACAAAAGUUGAAAGAAGAGCAACAGAGGAGAUGGAAUGAUCAGAGCUCAACCUCUUCAAGCCAUGGACAAGACUCAAAUCACCAGCCUGCUGGUGCACCUAGAAGUCAUGCCAUGCCUCCACCAUUUGGAUCAGUGUCAUUUGAUGGGAAUAGCAUUCCUGAUUUGACGAACGUGUUUAUGAACAUGACAAGAGAUGCAUUCCAAGGGCAGCAUGGUCCAGACCGGCCAGAAGGAAGCAACAACACUGAUUCAACCAAUGAUCCUGUUAUAAGAAUAAGCAGGAGCGUCAAUCUUGGUUUUGGUGAACAGAUGCCUGAGGAAUUGACAGGAACCUUAAGGUCUGUUAUGGAGAUGUUUUCAGGAGCUCAACCUCCUGAGAAUCCUCGGGAUAACAUGAAUGGAAGAUCAACACCAAAUUGAGGCCAUUUAUGUUAGUGAACUCAACCUCAUUCUCGAGUUGAUUAACAUCUCCAUCCUUUUUACCUGUUGCUUUUUUGGUGAAGUGCACUCUUGCAUCUGAAUUGAUCAUCUUCCCCUCGACAUGAUUUGUACAUUAAAGAUCUAAAACUCAGGUUUGCAGUGUAAUCUUAGGAUACUUCUGUUUUUGCCAUCUCAUAUAGAGGAUUACAUUGACAGAAAAUAUAGUUUUCAAGAAGUUACAUAGUGUCAUUUUUGUACUGAUAUUAAUGGGAAAUGGAA